rnacentral:rRNA from 1 species
CCUACGGGUGGCUGCAGUGAGGAAUAUUGGUCAAUGGCCGGAAGGCUGAACCAGCCAAGCCGCGUGAGGGAGGAAGGCGCAGAGCGUCGCAGACCUCUGUCAGCAGGGAAGAACGGUCACUGUGCUAAUCAGCAGUGAAUUGACGGUACCUGCAAAGGAAGCACCGGCUAACUCCGUGCCAGCAGCCGCGGUAAUACGGAGGGUGCGAGCGUUAAUCGGAAUUACUGGGCGUAAAGCGCUCGUAGGCGGUAUGUCAAGUCAAGGGUGAAAUCCCCGCGCUCAACGUGGGAACUGCCUUUGAAACUGGCAAACUGGAGUGUGUGAGAGGAUAGUGGAAUUCCAGGUGUAGGAGUGAAAUCCGUAGAUAUCUGGAGGAACAUUAGUGGCGAAGGCGACUAUCUGGCACAUAACUGACGCUGAGGAGCGAAAGCGUGGGUAGCAAACAGGAUUAGAUACCCUAGUAGUC